UGGGGAAUAUUGGGCAAUGGGCGAAAGCCUGACCCAGCAACGCCGCGUGAGGGAAGAAGGUUUUCGGAUUGUAAACCUCUGUCCUAAGGGACGAAGGAAGUGACGGUACCUUAGGAGGAAGCCCCGGCUAACUACGUGCCAGCAGCCGCGGUAAUACGUAGGGGGCGAGCGUUGUCCGGAAUGACUGGGCGUAAAGGGCGUGUAGGCGGCAGUAUAAGUCCGGAGUGAAAGUCCUGCUUUCAAGGUGGGAAUUGCUUUGGAGACUGUACAGCUUGAGUGCGGAAGAGGUAAGUGGAAUUCCCAGUGUAGCGGUGAAAUGCGUAGAGAUUGGGAGGAACACCAGUGGCGGAGGCGGCCUGCUGGACGACAACUGACGCUGAGGCGCGAAAGCGU
rnacentral:rRNA from 1 species